rnacentral:rRNA from 1 species
UGGGGAAUAUUGGACAAUGGGCGCAAGCCUGAUCCAGCCAUGCCACGUGAGUGAUGAAGGCCCUAGGGUUGUAAAGCUCUUUCACCGGUGAAGAUAAUGACGGUAACCGGAGAAGAAGCCCCGGCUAACUUCGUGCCAGCAGCCGCGGUAAUACGAAGGGGGCUAGCGUUGUUCGGAUUUACUGGGCGUAAAGCGCACGUAGGCGGACUUUUAAGUCAGGGGUGAAAUCCCGGGGCUCAACCCCGGAACUGCCUUUGAUACUGGAAGUCUUGAGUAUGGUAGAGGUGAGUGGAAUUCCGAGUGUAGAGGUGAAAUUCGUAGAUAUUCGGAGGAACACCAGUGGCGAAGGCGGCUCACUGGACCAUUACUGACGCUGAGGUGCGAAAGCGUGGGGAGCAAACAGG